rnacentral:lncRNA from 1 species
AAGAUUCUUGAGUUCCAAGGUCUAAAGGAGAUGGGAGCAGGGGCUGGGGACUUGGUAUGAGGCACAGAAGUGCACAUCUAUGAGAACUCCUGUGAUUAUGACUUUCAACACCCAGGCCUGGGCCUCUGGGACCAUGGUGGAGAGCAGGCUGUCCCACAAAGCAGGUUCCUAUGCACUUCAUGAGGGACCCUUGAGGAAUCUUAAACUGCCAGGUGGCCAUGGAAAAGACAACUAGAGUUCCUCAGAUCUUCCAGAUAUUCCCCUACAUUAUCAAGACUCUCUUGCAGAAUGAGCAGAAUUCCAGAUGUUCCCCUACAUCACCAAGACUCUCUUGCAGAAUGAGCAGAAUCUGCACUGUGUCACUUCUGGAUGGAGGUAGCUAGAAAUCAGUGUGCUCUCUCCUACGCCCUUUCUCCCACUGCACCCCACUGGAAUACCAAGCAUUCCAAAUGGCACAGUGAGAAGCUUCAAAAGGGACUGGCCCAUAUUAGACUGUGAUGUGAAUGAAAAAUAUGUAUUUAUUGUAAUCAGUCACUGGUAUUUUAGACAUUUGUAUUACUAUUUAAUUACACACCUAUACUACUUAAGCCAACAUUCUUAAAAUAGACUAAAUCUAAAAUAUAAAAAUUAUAUAUAUAUGCAAAUGUGUCUCUAUAAGCUGUCUCAAUUAUUCUUCGAAUGUCUUUGUGACUGUUUAUACAUGUGAAGAUCCCAUGGGUGUAUGAGUGAAUUCCAUGAAGAGUGAGAACAUUAAAUAUUAAAUACAACUCUUUA